UACAGAGGUGGCAAGCGUUGUUCGGAAUUACUGGGCGUAAAGGGCGCGUAGGCGGCCAUCUAAGUCAGACGUGAAAUCCCCAGGCUUAACCUGGGAACUGCAUCCGAUACUGGAUGGCUUGAAUCCGGGAGAGGGAUGCAGAAUUCCAGGUGUAGCGGUGAAAUGCGUAGAUAUCUGGAGGAAUACCGGUGGCGAAGGCGGCAUCCUGGACCGGCAUUGACGCUGAGGGAGCGAAAGCCAGGGGAGCAAACGGG
rnacentral:rRNA from 1 species